GUAGUCAUAUGCUUGUCUCAAAGAUUAAGCCAUGCAUGUCUAAGUAUAAGCAAUUUGUACGGUGAAACUGCGAAUGGCUCAUUAAAUCAGUUAUAGUUUAUUUGAUAGUACCUUACUACAUGGAUACCUGUGGUAAUUCUAGAGCUAAUACAUGCUUAAAACCCCAACUUCGGUAGGGGUGUAUUUAUUAGAUAAAAAACCAAUGCCCUUCGGGGCUCCUUGGUGAAUCAUAAUAACUUAUCGAAUCGCAUGGCCUUGCGCUGGCGAUGGUUCAUUCAAAUUUCUGCCCUAUCAACUUUCGAUGGUAGGAUAGUGGCCUACCAUGGUGGCAACGGGUAACGGGGAAU
rnacentral:rRNA from 1 species